UACGUAGGGGGCAAGCGUUGUCCGGAAUCAUUGGGCGUAAAGAGCGUGUAGGCGGCCCGGUAAGUCCGCUGUGAAAGUCGGGGGCUCAACCCUCGAAUGCCGGUGGAUACUGUCGGGCUAGAGUGCGGGAGAGGCGAGUGGAAUUCCUGGUGUAGCGGUGAAAUGCGCAGAUAUCAGGAGGAACACCGAUUGCGAAGGCAGCUCGCUGGAACGUAACUGACGCUGAGACGCGAAAGCGUGGGGAGCGAACAGG
rnacentral:rRNA from 1 species